AUGCAUUGCUGGUUAGAGUUGCAAAAGCAUCCGAAGUGGGAGAAUCGUGUGGUUUCGAAGGGGCCUCCGAAAAAGCAGAAGAAGACCUCGGAUGCAAGUCCAGGUACAACUUCUAAUGAUGAAGACUUCGGAUCCACUGAUGCUCUUGAUACAGAGAUAAGGCCUGAUGGUAAUAAGCGAGAUAAAGAACGUUUACGGAAAGUUAAAGCUUCUGCUUCCGAUGCUCUUGCUCCCAAGUUAUCAUUAGAAACUGUGUGGGCACAAAAGCUAGAGAAGGCCGAGGCGAAAGAGGCCGCGAAGAAUGCUCGCUAUGAGCGAGCAUUUGAAUUGUAG
rnacentral:rRNA from 1 species